UUAAAAAAUAAAACAUGCAUGGAACAAUCUAAUUAUUAUACAAUACAAUAAUAUACAUCUAAUAGGUAUCAACUAUGAGCAAUUGAAAAAAGAAUGUUAUAAAAUAAAUAGUUAAAUUAACAAAACAAUGAAAAGAAAGAACCUGAUUGAUUUUGGCAAGAGGGUAUUCGCAAGGUGCCUCAGUGAAAAGAAUUGUGGAGCUGCAGAAUAUAUCUAUAAUAUGUAUAUGUGUGUGUAUAUAAUGAGAAUAAUUGGUUUUUUCUUUUCCAAUUAUACUCUACAACAAAUUUUGUUAUAAGAAUACCAUAUUUUUAGUGUUGGUUAAAAAGAUAAGAAUUUAUAUUAUAUAAUAUUAUAUUUGUUACAUUGCUGGUGUCAUUGAAAAAGAUAUGUUUAGUUUUUUUAAUAAGAAAAAG
rnacentral:lncRNA from 1 species